GCGAGUGUGGUUCAGUGGUAGAAUUCUUGCUUCCCAAGCAAGGGACGCGGGUCCGAUUCCCGCCACUCGCA
rnacentral:tRNA from 4 species